rnacentral:rRNA from 1 species
GACGAACGCUGGCGGCGUGCUUAACACAUGCGAGUCGAACGGAAAGGCCCGGCUAUUGUGGGUGGCUCGAGUGGCAAACGGGUGUGUAACACGUGAGCGUCCUCCGUUGUACUGGGGGAUAACUCCAGGAAACCGCGGCUAAUACCUGCGAGGAGCGCCUGCUGCAGGGUGGGGGUUGGACAUCGUGGGCGGUAUGGGAUAGACGUGCGGCUUAGCAGCUGGUGGGGUGGGUAGUGGCUUACCAAGGCUUUGACGGAUGGCCGGCAUGAGAGGCUGACCAGGCACAUGGGGACUGAGAUACGGAGCAGUGUCCUACGGGAGGCAGCAGUGGCGAAUAUUACACAAUGGGCGGAAGCCUGAUGCAGCAACGCCGCGUGCGGGAUCUCGGCUUGCGGGUUGUAAACCGCUUUCGCCUGUGACCAAGCGUGAAUGACGGUAAUGGAUAAAGAAGCACCGGCUAACUACGUG